rnacentral:rRNA from 1 species
AGAGUUUGAUCCUGGCUCAGGAUGAACGCUAGCGGCAGGCCUAAUACAUGCAAGUCGAACGGUGAUAUUUAUAUCAUAGUGGCGCACGGGUGCGUAACACGUAUGCAACCUACCUAUUAUUGGGGGAUAGCCUUUGGAAACGGAGAUUAAUACCGCAUAAUACGAUUAACUGGCAUCGGUUGAUUGUUAAAGCAUUUGCGAUAAUAGAUGGGCACGCGUCCAAUUAGUUAGUUGGUGUGGUAAUGGCUCACCAAGACGAUGAUUGGUAGGGGAUCUGAGAGGAUAAUCCCCCACACUGGCACUGAGAUACGGGCCAGACUCCUACGGGAGGCAGCAGUAGGGAAUAUUGGGCAAUGGGCGGAAGCCUGACCCAGCCAUGCCGCGUGCAGGAAGACGGCGUUAUGCGUUGUAAACUGCUUUUUUAUAGGAAGAAGGAUCCCUUGCGAGGGAAGGUGACGGUACUAUAAGAAUAAGCACCGGCUAACUCCGUGCCAGCAGCCGCGGUAAUACGGAGGGUGCAAGCGUUGUCCGGAUUUAUUGGGUUUAAAGGGUGCGUAGGCGGUUUAUUAAGUCAGUGGUGAAAGACGGUCGCUCAACGAUUGCAGUGCCAUUGAUACUGGUA